rnacentral:lncRNA from 1 species
UAGACGUCAACAGACGAAUAGGAGUAAAGAAACCACGACUAGACAUCGAAAGAUGAUGAAUAUGAAGAGAAACCACGACUAGACGUCAACGGACGAAUAUGAGUAAAGAAACCACGACUAGACAUCGAAAGACGAUGAAUAGGAAGAGAAACCACGACUAGACGCCAACGGACGAAUAGGAAAAGCUCAACCAGACAUCAACGGAUGACUGGGAGAAAGAAACCACGACCAGACAUCGAGAGACGAUGAAUGGGAAGAGAAACC